rnacentral:lncRNA from 1 species
UGAAACCUUACUUUUAUAUAUAUGAUUUUCGGCGUGAGGGGCAAUGAGUUUUUUUCGGCGUGAGGGGCAAUGAGUUUAUUUUUUAUUAAUAAUUUGGAAUUGUAUUUUCUAUUUCUUUUUAUUUUCAAAUCAAUUUUAUGUUUAUUUUUAUAAGUUUUCAAAUUCAAAGUUAUUUAUUUAAUUGUAAAAAUUUUAAAUAUGUUUUAUAUUUUUAUAUUAUUUUUAAGAUUCUAGAGGUUCAAUCAAUAAUCA